GAUGAACGCUGGCGGCGUGCCUAAUACAUGCAAGUCGAACGAGGUGCUUUUGUAGCAAUACGGAAGUAUCCUAGUGGCGAACGGGUGAGUAACGCGUUGGUGACCUGCCCCAAAGUGUGGGAUAACAGUCCGAAAGGAUUGCUAAUACCGCAUGUGGUCAUCGGGUUUAGAAACCGAUGUCUAAAGCAGCAAUGCGCUUUGGGAGGGACCUGCGUCCCAUCAGCUAGUUGGUGAGGUAACGGCCCACCAAGGCGACGACGGGUAGGGGACCUGAGAGGGUGACCCCCCACAAUGGAACUGAAACACGGUCCAUACACCUACGGGUGGCAGCAGUAGGGAAUAUUGCUCAAUGGGCGAAAGCCUGAAGCAGCAACGCCGCGUGUGCGAUGAAGGCCCUCGGGUCGUAAAGCACUUUUCUGAGAGAUGAGCAAGGACAGUAUCUCAGGAAUAAGUCUCGGCUAACUACGUGCCAGCCGCCGCCGUAAAAC
rnacentral:rRNA from 1 species